GCCGUAGGGCGCGAGCGUUGUCCGGAUUUAUUGGGCGUAAAGAGCUCGUAGGCGGCUCGUCGCGUCGUCCGUGAAAACCUGCGGCUCAACUGCAGGCUGGCGGUCGAUACGGGCAGGCUGGAGUUCGGUAGGGGAGACUGGAAUUCCUGGUGUAGCGGUGAAAUGCGCAGAUAUCAGGAGGAACACCAGUGGCGAAGGCGGGUCUCUGGGCCGAUACUGACGCUGAGGAGCGAAAGCGUGGGGAGCGAACAGG
rnacentral:rRNA from 1 species